rnacentral:rRNA from 1 species
CUGACGAGUGGCGGACGGGUGAGUAAUGCUUGGGAAUCUGGCUUAUGGAGGGGGAUAACUGUGGGAAACUGCAGCUAAUACCGCGUAUUCUCUGAGGAGGAAAGGGUGGGACCUUAGGGCCACCUGCCAUAAGAUGAGCCCAAGUGGGAUUAGGUAGUUGGUGGGGUAAAGGCCUACCAAGCCUGCGAUCUCUAGCUGGUCUGAGAGGAUGACCAGCCACACUGGAACUGAGACACGGUCCAGACUCCUACGGGAGGCAGCAGUGGGGAAUAUUGCGCAAUGGGGGGAACCCUGACGCAGCCAUGCCGCGUGAAUGAAGAAGGCCUUCGGGUUGUAAAGUUCUUUCGGUAAUGAGGAAGGGAUGUUGUUAAAUAGAUAGCAUCAUUGACGUUAAUUACAGAAGAAGCACCGGCUAACUCCGUGCCAGCAGCCGCGGUAAUACGGAGGGUGCGAGCGUUAAUCGGAAUAACUGGGCGUAAAGGGCACGCAGGCGGACUUUUAAGUGAGAUGUGAAAUCCCCGAGCUUAACUUGGGAACUGCAUUUCAGACUGGGAGUCUAGAGUACUUUAGGGAGGGGUAGAAUUCCACGUGUAGCGGUGAAAUGCGUAGAGAUGUGGAGGAAUACCGAAGGCGAAAGCAGCCCCUUGGGAAUGUACUGACGCUCAUGUGCGAAAGCGUGGGG